rnacentral:rRNA from 1 species
GGGUGCGAUCACACCAGCACUAAUGCAACGGAUUCCAUCAGAACUCCGAAGUUAAACGUGCUUGGGCGAGAGUAGUACUAAGAUGGGUGACCUCUUUUGAAGUCCUCGUGUUGCACCCC